rnacentral:rRNA from 1 species
GAUGAACGCUAGCGGCGGGCCUAAUACAUGCAAGUCGAACGGAUAUAUGUUUUUCGGAAUAUAUUAGUGGCGCACGGGUGAGUAACACGUACAUAACUUGCCCUCAAGCGGGGGAUAGCCUUGGGAAACUGAGAGUAAUACCCCAUAGAAUUAUUGGACGGCAUCGUUUGAUAAUUAAAACUACGGUGUUUGGGGAUAGAUGUGCGUCUGAUUAGCUAGUUGGUGAGGUAACUGCUCACCAAGGCGACGAUCAGUAGGGGGCGUGAGAGCGUGGCCCCCCACACGGGUACUGAGGCACGGACCCGACUCCUACGGGAGGCAGCAGUAAGGAAUAUUGGUCAAUGGAGGGAACUCUGAACCAGCCAUGCCGCGUGAAGGAUGACGGCCCUCUGGGUUGUAAACUUCUUUUGGAUGGGGCGAAAAAACGGGAUUUAUCCUGGACUGACGGUACCAUCAGAAUAAGCACCGGCUAACUCCGUGCCAGCAGCCGCGGUAAAGU